GCCUUGUGGUGUAACGGUAGCACACUCGGCCCGUGUUCGAGGGGACCGGGUUCGAGUCCCGGCGAGUGCA
rnacentral:tRNA from 1 species